rnacentral:sRNA from 1 species
GAAAAACUAUCCAAAACUACCUUCUUCCUCAUGUUCUUCCUCAGGCUAUUUCUAAUCCAAAAAUCUUGCACCUCAACAGCAAGACACAAUUUUUUUUACCUUUUUUUAAACAACAUGGUAUAUCACUGAUACCCUUUUUAAAAUAAUCAUAUGGGCUGCUUGGUGUGUAAUAAAUGAGUGAUUUUUAGGAAGAUUUAACGGCUUAAAUAGAAGAAAUGUUGGUGUUGGAGCAGGAAUGGGUUUGCCAGCAGAUGGCAACUAAUCAACUAGAAUGACAGGUGACCAAAAAUGGCGAAGCAAAUGACAGCGGGAUAAUAUACAUGAUAUGCUAGUAAAGCUGUCAUGGACCGUCGAUUACGCGGCUCAGGUGCUUUUAUUUAUAUCUAUGUCUUUCUUCGCUAAAAGGUAACUGGCACUUCAUCUUCUUUAUUAGUUCAUUCAGACUCUGUAACUUUUUACUGUGUCAAGCUUUUAGUUCGUAAUGGUAUAACAUGAGUCAUUCGGUGUUUGUGAUGAGGUUUUGAUGGACCAUAUUCAAGAUUUCUACUCUAUAUAUUAUCAACGACAUAUAAUUAGUUGAAUUUCACACAUGCCUAUCUUUUUAUUUAAGAGAAUCAUGUAAGCCUAUGUAAGUUUUGACGUAUCUUGAGAUGUACAACAAUGUAUAAAAGUCAUAUAUAUACUUUAUUAAGAUAGUUUUAUUCUGGUUUAUUUUUGUAUCGGUAA